CGUGUACUUGACCUUGGUCUGCUAAGCGAAAUAGCAAGAAAGUUCCUCCAACUUUCCUGACACAUUUUUUUUUCUUUUUGCUGGCCUCCAGAACAAAGCCAAUGUAUCUGCUGAUGAAGCUCAAGGACUAAAUGACUUGCGAACGUGGUCCUGGGUUCCAUUUCAGCCAACAGCCGGAGGGCUGGCUGGCUGGGCACCUGUUCCUCCCCGAGGAAAUUUGGACCACAUGGAGAGAGACACAGUAGAGGAAUGACCAUGUGAAGACACAGCAAAGAGGUGGCCACCUGCAAGCCAAAGAAAGAGGUCUCAGGAGGAGCCACACCUGCUGACAUCUUGAUCUUGGACUUCUAGCCUCCAGAACUGAAUUACUGACUGAGAAACUGAUCUUUGGCAGAGAAGAGCUGCAUGAACAUAACCCCUUGAUCUACUAUUGGGUCAGCUGGUUCCUUAAGAGACUGCUGUUGUGUGAAGGCAAGACCCCAGGACCCUGAGAACAGAAGGCCAAGGUUGGAAUCCCAACUCUGCUAUCACCACCGUGUGACCUUGGACAGGUCAGAGUCAUCUCCCCAAGGCUCAAUGUCCAAAUGUAAAUAGGAAUAAUGCCUACCCUAUCGUUUUAUUCUCCAUGAAUGGAGAAUGCUCAGCACAAAGUCCACACUUAGCCAAUGCUGGUAAGUUUGAGAGAGGUCUCCUUGUGGUUUUGUUUGCUAUGUCUGUGAUUGAUCGUCCAGCAGAGUGCUUUACAUACAGCUAGUACUCAAAAAAUACCCGAUGAAUGAACAAAUUCCUAAAAGUAAUAAAAAAAUAAUGUAGUCAAAGUGAUGCAGCUCGUCGAAAAAAUGAGCGGGCUUAUCCGGUCUUGAAACUUAGCCAUGCUCAGCCCUGGUGAGAUUUUGAGGCAAAUAGACAAGUAACAGCAGUAAGGACACGAAGGCUAUUUAAUAAACAAAUAAGUGAAUAGUUGAAACUAAACUACUGGGUAGACAUUGAAUCACAGGAUGUUAAAUGUCCACCCGGAAAAAAAUGGUGCCACGUAUUUGCAUCUGCUGUUAAAAUUCAGUCAAAUAUUUAGUUAUAUCCACUAUCUGGAUAUCUGGGUUAAGUUAGCCAAAAGACUGAUGACUGAGUGAAUUUUUUCAUUUUAAUUGAGUCUCUUUUGAGAUCAUGCAGGCUGACAUACUCUUGGGGACACAACUGAAGGAAGAAUUCAAGGAGGAGCCAUCCCCAUGAGACUCGGACUGCCUCAUGAGCUCAGGUUGCAGACAGAACUUCAAUGACACCAAUGUCACCAUUGCGAGUUCACGACAAAGGAAUCAUUUCGGAGUCUCUACUUGUAGAUUCCAUUAAAAUAAAAUAGGGCUUUAAAGUUUUCUAAGACCUCUAUCUCACCGUUUUUAAUUAAUAAGAAUUGCAGUAUCACUUAAAUAUAUAAUCUUCUUGGAGCUAUAAAGUCCAGCUGGUGGCCAAUUACAUUUUAAUCUAUUUAAUGAAAUUUCCUAAUAAAAUAUCUGA